AUUGAACGCUGGCGGCAUGCUUUACACAUGCAAGUCGAACGGCAGCACGGGUGCUUGCACCUGGUGGCGAGUGGCGGACGGGUGAGUAAUACAUCGGAACGUAUCCUGAAGUGGGGGAUAACGCAUCGAAAGAUGUGCUAAUACCGCAUAUACUCUGAGGAGGAAAGUAGGGGAUCGAAAGACCUUAUGCUUUUGGAGCGGCCGAUGUCUGAUUAGCUAGUUGGUAAGGUAAUGGCUUACCAAGGCAACGAUCAGUAGUUGGUCUGAGAGGACGACCAGCCACACUGGGACUGAGACACGGCCCAGACUCCUACGGGAGGCAGCAGUGGGGAAUUUUGGACAAUGGGCGCAAGCCUGAUCCAGCAAUGCCGCGUGAGUGAAGAAGGCCUUCGGGUUGUAAAGGCUCUUUCAGUUGAGAAGAAAAGAUUGUAACUAAUAAUUAGUCAAUACCAUAGACGGUAGUCGACAGAAGAAGCACCGGCUAACUACGUAG
rnacentral:rRNA from 1 species